UGAAAGGAGUAAAAAUUUAAAAAAAAAAAAUAAAAAAUAAAUAAAAAAUAAAAUUAAAUAAAGGACAAGAUGAAAACUUAUUAUAUGAAUUAUGGAUUUACUUUAUUUUAUGCUCUUACAAACCGUAACUGGACUGCUGGAAUUUCUUCUACUAGAUGAGCGUCUAUUUGUGUCCUAUAUAUUUAAAUUUUAUUUUCUCAAAUUACAUAUAUAUAUCAAUAUGUUAUUUCGAUUAUUUUCGAUUUUAAUUUUGAUAUUUUGGAAAUUCACUUUAUCUUCUACAUAAUCGCAUUUCCUAUAUCAAUCAUCAUCAUCAUUUGGACAUCUUGGAUCCGCUAAUUAUAGUAACGUUGUAUUUUCACUUCAUAUAUCACACUUUACCAUUUAACUUUCUUAUGGUACGUCGAGUGAGACACAAUCGAUACCUUGUGUUCUUCAAUAGCUAUUCCCACAGCACAUGAGUCUUUUUACGUAACCCAAUAACCUCUUCCCCGGAGUGAUCUGUAGCGGACCAUUUACUCAAUAUUGAAACUUUUUAAUUACCACGUUGAAUCACAAAUUGCCAACAAAACACAAGCGCUUUAUUUAUUAAACGCAUCUGACGUUUCAGUAUGUGAAUUUCUAUUACUAGUAGUAUGGUAUUUUGUCGCACUUCAAAUUUGGCCACCGUUACUAUAUGAGACGAAGCAAUACGUAGCAGUAAUGUAUUUAGUACUCAUUUAUCAAUGAAAAAGAUCAAAACAAGAGAUUAACUGAGUGAUAUUCAAUAGGAUUUGCUAAGUGAAGAGAUGAUCAAACAUUUAAUGCUGACUUGGUCAUCUCCAACCUAUAUUACAUAGAUUUGAUUUCUCCAUGUUUGGGGAGAGAAAUUAGACGAAGGGGUGGAUUUUCAUUCGUUUCUUCGACAAAUAAGUCUUGAGCAAAAGUCCACUCAAAAUUCGAAUGAUGUAUAGCGCUAUAGCAGUGGUAGAAAUAUCUGUUGUUUAUGAUUGCCAAUUUUGCUAAGCAAUGGUAAUGAUGAUCAUCUGUGUAAGUACUAUGUAUAAUAAUUAGAGAACUGAGUACCCAAUAUUAUAGCAUGCAUUAUUAUGCUUACAGUACGAGAUUACUCUCAAACUAACUAAUAAAAUUAAUUACUUGAUGACUUGACUUAUCUAU
rnacentral:lncRNA from 1 species